CUGUGAGCUCGAUGAGUAGGGCGGGACACGUGGUAUCCUGUCUGAAUAUGGGGGGACCAUCCUCCAAGGCUAAAUACUCCUGACUGACCGAUAGUGAACCAGUACCGUGAGGGAAAGGCGAAAAGAACCCCGGCGAGGGGAGUGAAAAAGAACCUGAAACCGUGUACGUACAAGCAGUGGGAGCACGCUUAGGCGUGUGACUGCGUACCUUUUGUAUAAUGGGUCAGCGACUUAUAUUCUGUAGCAAGGUUAACCGAAUAGGGGAGCCGAAGGGAAACCGAGUCUUAACUGGGCGUUAAGUUGCAGGGUAUAGACCCGAAACCCGGUGAUCUAGCCAUGGGCAGGUUGAAGGUUGGGUAACACUAACUGGAGGACCGAACCGACUAAUGUUGAAAAAUUAGCGGAUGACUUGUGGCUGGGGGUGAAAGGCCAAUCAAACCGGGAGAUAGCUGGUUCUCCCCGAAAGCUAUUUAGGUAGCGCCUCGUGAAUUCAUCUCCGGGGGUAGAGCACUGUUUCGGCAAGGGGGUCAUCCCGACUUACCAACCCGAUGCAAACUGCGAAUACCGGAGAAUGUUAUCACGGGAGACACACGGCGGGUGCUAACGUCCGUCGUGAAGAGGGAAACAACCCAGACCGCCAGCUAAGGUCCCAAAGUCAUGGUUAAGUGGGAAACGAUGUGGGAAGGCCCAGACAGCCAGGAUGUUGGCUUAGAAGCAGCCAUCAUUUAAAGAAAGCGUAAUAGCUCACUGGUCGAGUCGGCCUGCGCGGAAGAUGUAACGGGGCUAAACCAUGCACCGAAGCUGCGGCAGCGACGCUUAUGCGUUGUUGGGUAGGGGAGCGUUCUGUAAGCCUGUGAAGGUGUGCUGUGAGGCAUGCUGGAGGUAUCAGAAGUGCGAAUGCUGACAUAAGUAACGAUAAAGCGGGUGAAAAGCCCGCUCGCCGGAAGACCAAGGGUUCCUGUCCAACGUUAAUCGGGGCAGGGUGAGUCGACCCCUAAGGCGAGGCCGAAAGGCGUAGUCGAUGGGAAACAGGUUAAUAUUCCUGUACUUGGUGUUACUGCGAAGGGGGGACGGAGAAGGCUAUGUUGGCCGGGCGACGGUUGUCCCGGUUUAAGCGUGUAGGCUGGUUUUCCAGGCAAAUCCGGAAAAUCAAGGCUGAGGCGUGAUGACGAGGCACUACGGUGCUGAAGCAACAAAUGCCCUGCUUCCAGGAAAAGCCUCUAAGCAUCAGGUAACAUCAAAUCGUACCCCAAACCGACACAGGUGGUCAGGUAGAGAAUACCAAGGCGCUUGAGAGAACUCGGGUGAAGGAACUAGGCAAAAUGGUGCCGUAACUUCGGGAGAAGGCACGCUGAUAUGUAGGUGAAGUCCCUCGCGGAUGGAGCUGAAAUCAGUCGAAGAUACCAGCUGGCUGCAACUGUUUAUUAAAAACACAGCACUGUGCAAACACGAAAGUGGACGUAUACGGUGUGACGCCUGCCCGGUGCCGGAAGGUUAAUUGAUGGGGUCAGCGCAAGCGAAGCUCUUGAUCGAAGCCCCGGUAAACGGCGGCCGUAACUAUAACGGUCCUAAGGUAGCGAAAUUCCUUGUCGGGUAAGUUCCGACCUGCACGAAUGGCGUAAUGAUGGCCAGGCUGUCUCCACCCGAGACUCAGUGAAAUUGAACUCGCUGUGAAGAUGCAGUGUACCCGCGGCAAGACGGAAAGACCCCGUGAACCUUUACUAUAGCUUGACACUGAACAUUGAGCCUUGAUGUGUAGGAUAGGUGGGAGGCUUAGAAGUGUGGACGCCAGUCUGCAUGGAGCCGACCUUGAAAUACCACCCUUUAAUGUUUGAUGUUCUAACGUUGACCCGUAAUCCGGGUUGCGGACAGUGUCUGGUGGGUAGUUUGACUGGGGCGGUCUCCUCCUAAAGAGUAACGGAGGAGCACGAAGGUUGGCUAAUCCUGGUCGGACAUCAGGAGGUUAGUGCAAUGGCAUAAGCCAGCUUGACUGCGAGCGUGACGGCGCGAGCAGGUGCGAAAGCAGGUCAUAGUGAUCCGGUGGUUCUGAAUGGAAGGGCCAUCGCUCAACGGAUAAAAGGUACUCCGGGGAUAACAGGCUGAUACCGCCCAAGAGUUCAUAUCGACGGCGGUGUUUGGCACCUCGAUGUCGGCUCAUCACAUCCUGGGGCUGAAGUAGGUCCCAAGGGUAUGGCUGUUCGCCAUUUAAAGUGGUACGCGAGCUGGGUUUAGAACGUCGUGAGACAGUUCGGUCCCUAUCUGCCGUGGGCGCUGGAGAACUGAGGGGGGCUGCUCCUAGUACGAGAGGACCGGAGUGGACGCAUCACUGGUGUUCGGGUUGUCAUGCCAAUGGCACUGCCCGGUAGCUAAAUGCGGAAGAGAUAAGUGCUGAAAGCAUCUAAGCACGAAACUUGCCCCGAGAUGAGUUCUCCCUGACUCCUUGAGAGUCCUGAAGGAACGUUGAAGACGACGACGUUGAUAGGCCGGGUGUGUAAGCGCAGCGAUGCGUUGAGCUAACCGGUACUAAUGAACCGUGAGGCUUAACCUUACAACGCCGAAGCUGUU
rnacentral:rRNA from 1 species